GUUGGCAGUGGUAUUAUAAGCGGUAUAUUGACGUGCGCAAGGGUGGCAUUGGUGGGAUAUCUAUGCUUCUUGCUGGCUACUGCGUCCUAAGCUACGUGUGGAGCUAUCCACACCUAAAACAUGAACGUUGGAGGAAGUAUCAUUGAGGAGGGACCAAUCUGACGUGGGACCUUGACCGAUGAACUCAGAUCAACUCUGAAUGAAGAAUAUACCGUGUGCUGUGCGUUCGAUACAACGGACAAGUGAUAAUGAAUUAAGCAUUUUUGAAUGUGAGCAUUUAUAUGUAUUUAAAUGAGUUGAUAGGGGAAUGUAUUUUUGUCUAAACACCAUGGAUUAAUGUAUGUAAUACAUAUUAAUGUACAUGAACUAAGGGAGUGUUUUUGCAGUCUCAAACAACCGUCACUGACUUGUAGUAUGUACAUGUAUUUUUUUUUUAGACCAAUAAAGGUCAAGCUGUCACAGCACUAACAUGAA